CAAACCAAACACAAAAACCAAACCAAACACAAAAACCAAACACUCUUCACUCUCUCUCUCUCUCUCUUCACUCUGUUUUCACUUACUCACUUACCAUUUUCUAUGGAGUUCUACUUCAUCUGUGAUCGUUAGAUCUCAAUGUGAGUGAAUGAAGUAGCGUGUAUCUCAAUCCACCAUUCCAACUUCACCUGUUUGGAGAGUUGAUGUGAGCAGCAUCUUCCUACUUGGAUCCAUCUCACAUAGCUAAAAUCUAGUGAAGUAUUGGAGCUGGCACUGGAGUAGUGAGAAUGAGUCUAUUUGAAUUUUGUUGUGUGUUGUUGAUUAUUGUAUCUAGUGUUGUAGUAGCUGGGAAGGGUGAGGUUUACAUUGUAACUGUUGAAGGUGAGCCUAUUAUAAGUUAUGCAGGAGGUAUUGAUGGCUUUCAAGCUACGUCGGUCGAAUCCGAUGAAAGUAUUGACACUACAAGUGAAUUGGUCACAUCUUACGGUCGUCAUCUCGAAAAGAAACACGAUAUGCUUCUCGGGAUGGUGUUUGAGCAAGGGACAUAUAGGAAACUUUAUAGCUAUCGACAUCUUCUAAAUGGGU
rnacentral:lncRNA from 1 species